rnacentral:rRNA from 1 species
CUACGGGGCGCACCAGUGGGGAAUAUUGGACAAUGGGGGAAACCCUGAUCCAGCAACGCCGCGUGAGGGAAGAAGGCUUUCGGGUUGUAAACCUCUGUCGGAGGGGACGAAACCGGUUGUGGCUAACAUCCACAGCCAUUGACGGUACCCUCAAAGGAAGCACCGGCUAACCACGUGCCAGCAGCCGCGGUAAUACGUGGGGUGCAAGCGUUGUUCGGAAUUACUGGGCGUAAAGUGUGUCUAGGUGGACUUUAAAGUCAGGUGUGAAAUCCCCCGGCUUAACUGGGGAGGGUCGCUUGAAACUUAAAGUCUUGAGUUCCGGGGAGGCGAGUGGAAUUCCCAGUGUAGAGGUGAAAUUCGUAGAUAUUGGGAGGAACACCUGAUGCGAAAGCGACUCGCUAACCGGACACUGACACUCAAGCACGAGAGCGUGGGUAGCAAACAGGAUUAGAUACCCCUGUAGUC